rnacentral:rRNA from 1 species
CGCGUAGGCGGUUUGCUAAGUCGGAUGUGAAAGCCCCGGGCUUAACCUGGGAAUUGCAUUCGAUACUGGUAGGCUAGAGUAUGGUAGAGGGAAGUGGAAUUCCAGGUGUAGCGGUGAAAUGCGUAGAUAUCUGGAGGAACAUCAGUGGCGAAGGCGACUUCCUGGACCAAUACUGACGCUGAGGUGCGAAAGCGUGGGGAGCGAACA